GCAGGACCUCAGCUUCAGGAACACAUGGAAUGAUGCAGAGAAGAUUGGUGUGGCGCCUGCAUGAGGAUGACCGGCCAGUUCAUAAAGACUUCCAUAUAUUU
ensembl:snRNA U6 U6 spliceosomal RNA